UACGUAGGGUGCGAGCGUUAAUCGGAAUUACUGGGCGUAAAGCGUGCGCAGGCGGUUUUGUAAGCCGGAUGUGAAAUCCCCGGGCUUAACCUGGGAAUGGCAUUCGGGACUGCAAGGCUGGAGUGCGGCAGAGGAGACUGGAAUUCCUGGUGUAGCAGUGAAAUGCGUAGAUAUCAGGAGGAACACCGAUGGCGAAGGCAGGUCUCUGGGCCACUACUGACGCUGAGAAGCGAAAGCAUGGGGAGCGAACAGG
rnacentral:rRNA from 1 species